rnacentral:ncRNA from 1 species
GAUUUAUAAAGAAGCGCUGAGAGACAGGCUCUAAGAAGCGCUAGCAACCCCCACCCUAAACGGGAAGGUGCUAAUUCCUGAUAUAUAAAUU